rnacentral:rRNA from 1 species
CCUACGGGUGGCAGCAGUGAGGAAUAUUGGUCAAUGGGCGCAAUCCUGACCCAGCAAUGCCGCGUGAAGGAAGAAGGCUCUCCGGUUUGUAACUUGUUUUUGUAGGGGCGAAGCAAGUGCUGGUACCUGAGGUUUGAGCGAAGGCUAACUACGGGCCAUCGGUCACGGUAAUACGGAGGUGGCAAGAGUUAUGCGGAUGUACUGGGUGUAAAGGGUGUGUAGGGGGGAUUGCAAGUCAGCUGUGAAAACUAUUGGCUCAACCCAUAGGCUGCAGCUGAAACUGUACUUCUUGUGUGCGGGAGCGGCAAUCGGAAUGUGGUGUGUAGCGGUGAAAUGCAUAGAUAUACCGAGGAACACCAGUGGCGAAGGCGGAUUGCUAGACAGGAACUGACGCUGAGGCGCGAAAGCGUGGGGAGCAAACAGGAUUAGAUACCCGAGUAGUC